rnacentral:rRNA from 2 species
GGUUAAGCGACUAAGCGUACACGGUGGAUGCCCUGGCAGUCAGAGGCGAUGAAGGACGUGCUAAUCUGCGAUAAGCGCCGGUAAGGUGAUAUGAACCGUUAUAACCGGCGAUUUCCGAAUGGGGAAACCCAGUGUGACUCGUCACACUAUCAUUAACUGAAUCCAUAGGUUAAUGAGGCGAACCGGGGGAACUGAAACAUCUAAGUACCCCGAGGAAAAGAAAUCAACCGAGAUUCCCCCAGUAGCGGCGAGCGAACGGGGAGGAGCCCAGAGCCUGAAUCAGCAUGUGUGUUAGUGGAAGCGUCUGGAAAGGCGCGCGAUACAGGGUGACAGCCCCGUACACAAAAGCGCAUGUGCUGUGAGCUCGAUGAGUAGGGCGGGACACGUGGUAUCCUGUCUGAAUAUGGGGGGACCAUCCUCCAAGGCUAAAUACUCCUGACUGACCGAUAGUGAACCAGUACCGUGAGGGAAAGGCGAAAAGAACCCCGGCGAGGGGAGUGAAAAAGAACCUGAAACCGUGUACGUACAAGCAGUGGGAGCACAGGUUUACCUGUGUGACUGCGUACCUUUUGUAUAAUGGGUCAGCGACUUAUAUUCUGUAGCAAGGUUAACCGCAUAGGGGAGCCGCAGGGAAACCGAGUCUUAAUUGGGCGUUAAGUUGCAGGGUAUAGACCCGAAACCCGGUGAUCUAGCCAUGGGCAGGUUGAAGGUUGGGUAACACUAACUGGAGGACCGAACCGACUAAUGUUGAAAAAUUAGCGGAUGACCUGUGGCUGGGGGUGAAAGGCCAAUCAAACCGGGAGAUAGCUGGUUCUCCCCGAAAGCUAUUUAGGUAGCGCCUCGUGAAUUCAUCUCCGGGGGUAGAGCACUGUUUCGGCUAGGGGGCCAUCCCGGCUUACCAACCCGAUGCAAACUGCGAAUACCGGAGAAUGUUAUCACGGGAGACACACGGCGGGUGCUAACGUCCGUCGUGAAGAGGGAAACAACCCAGACCGCCAGCUAAGGUCCCAAAGUCAUGGUUAAGUGGGAAACGAUGUGGGAAGGCCCAGACAGCCAGGAUGUUGGCUUAGAAGCAGCCAUCAUUUAAAGAAAGCGUAAUAGCUCACUGGUCGAGUCGGCCUGCGCGGAAGAUGUAACGGGGCUAAACCAUGCACCGAAGCUGCGGCAGCGAACGUAUCACCCAAGACAACUUUGCGGAGUUGACGAUUGACGGAGCGAAGCGACGUCAAAGCGUUCAUUAAAGUCGAGUUGGCUUAGGGAUACGUUCGUUGGGUAGGGGAGCGUUCUGUAAGCCUGUGAAGGUGUGCUGUGAGGCAUGCUGGAGGUAUCAGAAGUGCGAAUGCUGACAUAAGUAACGAUAAAGCGGGUGAAAAGCCCGCUCGCCGGAAGACCAAGGGUUCCUGUCCAACGUUAAUCGGGGCAGGGUGAGUCGACCCCUAAGGCGAGGCCGAAAGGCGUAGUCGAUGGGAAACGGGUUAAUAUUCCCGUACUUGGUGUUACUGCGAAGGGGGGACGGAGAAGGCUAUGUUGGCCGGGCGACGGUUGUCCCGGUUUAAGCGUGUAGGCUGGUUUUCCAGGCAAAUCCGGAAAAUCAAGGCUGAGGCGUGACGACGAGGCACUACGGUGCUGAAGCAACAAAUGCCCUGCUUCCAGGAAAAGCCUCUAAGCAUCAGGUAACAUCAAAUCGUACCCCAAACCGACACAGGUGGUCAGGUAGAGAAUACCAAGGCGCUUGAGAGAACUCGGGUGAAGGAACUAGGCAAAAUGGUGCCGUAACUUCGGGAGAAGGCACGCUGACAUGUAGGUGAAGUGAUUUACUCAUGGAGCUGAAGUCAGUCGAAGAUACCAGCUGGCUGCAACUGUUUAUUAAAAACACAGCACUGUGCAAACACGAAAGUGGACGUAUACGGUGUGACGCCUGCCCGGUGCCGGAAGGUUAAUUGAUGGGGUCAGCGCAAGCGAAGCUCCUGAUCGAAGCCCCGGUAAACGGCGGCCGUAACUAUAACGGUCCUAAGGUAGCGAAAUUCCUUGUCGGGUAAGUUCCGACCUGCACGAAUGGCGUAAUGAUGGCCAGGCUGUCUCCACCCGAGACUCAGUGAAAUUGAACUCGCUGUGAAGAUGCAGUGUACCCGCGGCAAGACGGAAAGACCCCGUGAACCUUUACUAUAGCUUGACACUGAACAUUGAGCCUUGAUGUGUAGGAUAGGUGGGAGGCUUUGAAGCGUGGACGCCAGUCUGCGUGGAGCCGACCUUGAAAUACCACCCUUUAAUGUUUGAUGUUCUAACGUGGACCCGUUACCCGGGUUGCGGACAGUGUCUGGUGGGUAGUUUGACUGGGGCGGUCUCCUCCUAAAGAGUAACGGAGGAGCACGAAGGUUGGCUAAUCCUGGUCGGACAUCAGGAGGUUAGUGCAAUGGCAUAAGCCAGCUUGACUGCGAGCGUGACGGCGCGAGCAGGUGCGAAAGCAGGUCAUAGUGAUCCGGUGGUUCUGAAUGGAAGGGCCAUCGCUCAACGGAUAAAAGGUACUCCGGGGAUAACAGGCUGAUACCGCCCAAGAGUUCAUAUCGACGGCGGUGUUUGGCACCUCGAUGUCGGCUCAUCACAUCCUGGGGCUGAAGUAGGUCCCAAGGGUAUGGCUGUUCGCCAUUUAAAGUGGUACGCGAGCUGGGUUUAGAACGUCGUGAGACAGUUCGGUCCCUAUCUGCCGUGGGCGCUGGAGAACUGAGGGGGGCUGCUCCUAGUACGAGAGGACCGGAGUGGACGCAUCACUGGUGUUCGGGUUGUCAUGCCAAUGGCACUGCCCGGUAGCUAAAUGCGGAAGAGAUAAGUGCUGAAAGCAUCUAAGCACGAAACUUGCCCCGAGAUGAGUUCUCCCUGAGACUUUAGGUCUCCUGAAGGAACGUUGAAGACGACGACGUUGAUAGGCCGGGUGUGUAAGCGCAGCGAUGCGUUGAGCUAACCGGUACUAAUGAACCGUGAGGCUUAACCUU